AUGCGGCCCGCAUAAACUCUGAGAAAUCGUUCGUGGCAUGGUCAAUGGAUGUAUAGUUUGAGCAUUCAAAGGAUUGGUUGAAGGAGCAGAUCAGUCUCUUGAGUUUAGUAAGGUCAGCACGUGCGUAAUUGAGCUUUAUUUCCGUAACAGUGGUAGCGUGAUUCAUAGACGAUGCUGUGAUUUCCAAAUCAAAUUCGAGCGGUGGGUGAUAGCAGUCUAUUGGCAGCAGCGGGUGCUCGCUGACGCGUAUGAGCGAAGAAGUUGCUGCACUUGACCAAUUCCCGUAUGCAAGGUCUAAAAUGCGCCCCAUAGAGUUAGUGUUGUUAUUAAGUUGGUAAAGCGCAUUCUGGUGCAGUCCAUCGACGAAUUGGGCGCUACGAACUGAACUAGUAUGAGGUUCAAAAAACACAAAAGGGGUUUCAUGAUUCGAUUGCGCAGGCGACCAGGAAAGAGCGGGUUGGUUAAAGUCUCCCACGAGCACGAAUCUGUCGUUUGGACCUAGUGUGUCGCAAAUGCUGUUGACGGUGUCCAGUAAUGCAUUUAUUUUUCCUUCGUCCGUGCUAUGGUUGGGAGGAAGGUAGGCAGCAGCAAUGAAUAAUCGGUACGUCGGGAGCUGAAUGCAGAUGCAAGCGAAUUCAAGUGUUUGCGCAAGCACUGGAAGCGCAUGAGAGCGGAGAGCGGAACUCACCGCAAUUAGUACUCCACCGCCUCGAGAUAGAGAGCUGUUUGCGGCAUUUCUAUCGCAACGAUAGACACAGUGCGCAUCGCCAAAUAGGAGAGCUGUGGGAAGGCUGGGAUCGAGCCAAGUCUCAGUGAGUACCACAACAUCAUAGUCCGCUUCUAACACAGUUAAACGGAACUCAUCAGCUUUGGAUCGUAAACCUCGCACAUUCUGAUAGUAUACAGUUAUAGACGUGGAACGGACAUUGAGUGGUAUGCGUGUGUAAGUUGGUGCAAGGUCAUCGGUGAGAGAUCGUGUCGUUGACGUGUUGUUGUUUCGUGUAAACAAAUGACUAGUCAGAUUCAGUGGCACAGUGCCUUUUGAGGAAACAGUUGUGUGAUUAUUACUUAAGAAAAAAGUGUUGAAUAGUAGUUUGGUGCAUUUUAACGGUGUUUGGUGUGGCUGUAGUUGUUUUUGGUGGAACAGGCGAUAUUAAGGUACAAUUCAUAUCGGGUGAUAAUUGUACGGGGUGCAUCGGGCUAUGUCGAACAGGUAUAGGUGUGUUUGUGUUGGUGAGAUCAGGACGAUGGUGAGACGGCCUUUGCGGGAGUGAGAUAAACUCACGCACACCGAGCCCGACCGGCCAAGAUCCUGCGCAAACUAAAAGCGAUGACGUCCGUGGUGUCCAACUGUGAUUUUACCAUCGACACUACCUGGUCAGCGGUGACGGUUUUGGCUAACCUAGAUAGAUGUAGCCACAUAUAGUUUGUUCUUGGUAGUUGUGACACGGUUGGGAUCGACGUGGUGGUGGUAUCGGUUCCUGUUAUUAUUGGUGGUAGUGAAGGGCGAUUUCUUUGGUGAGUAUUGUUGGUGUCUGUAUUUACAGGGUAUAGUGGAGCAUUGUCAACAACAAUGGCUUCCGUGGAUGCAACAACGUCACGGAACAACCUUCUACGCUUUCCACUCGGGAGGGCAUCUGGGGGCGGUACGUUGAAGUGUUCGCUAGGAGCUUGGUGAGCCGCGGCAAAACUGGCAAAGCCCUCACGGAUUUCGUGCAUCACAUGCGGGACUAAAGCAGCUUUCAUCACCUCGACAGCGACAGUAAGAGCCGCCUGGAAGCCGACCUGCAUACCCGUUGUUUUGACUGCUUUACUAUGUGGGUUGCCAAGAGCAUUCGAACACCCUACACAGCUCCAAUGAAGAGAUGCCGUCCGUUUUACCUCUUCGAUCACAGUGAAAGUUGCCGUUGCAGAUAGAUGCCACAGGACUCAGGAACAAACGCAGGAAAUACAGCAAAGUCAGGAAUGGUUGUGACGAACAAUUGAAGGCAGGACUACCAGAGACAGCUUAAGUCACAGCUAAGCGGCAGUUUGACGAAAAUAAGAUGAAACGACAAAAUAAUUCACGGAUUUACGCGGAGCACAGUGAGAAACACACUCUGUCGUCAGCUGUCAACUGUCAAUGUAUCCCCAGCCUGCUCCCAACUGCUUGAUACUCUCAGCUUUGUGGGACUAUCUCAGGUCAAUAAUAAUGUAAACAAUCAUGGGUCUUUACUUGAUCUUAUAUUCGUGAGCCCGCGUAUAAUUGAGAAUGGUAUGAGAAUUUUCCGUUCCAUAGAUUGUUUAACUGAGGAAGACCGAUAUCAUCCGAGCUUGCUGGUCAAUAUUACACUUCCAUCAACAACCCAGACUGCUACGGAAGUCACUGGAUCGAACAGCCUGAGACAUCUCGAUUUUAGAAAAGCUGAUUUCCCAAAAAUGAUUGACGCUUUUUCCAAUACUGACUGGUCAUUCCUUAAUUCUGAUAGCAAUCCCACCUUAUCAAUCGAUUCGGCAAUCGACUCCU